CGCGUAGGCGGUAAUAUAAGUCGGAUGUGAAAGCCCUGGGCUCAACCUGGGAACUGCAUUCGAUACUGUAUAACUAGAGUUUGGUAGAGGGAAGUGGAAUUCCACAUGUAGCGGUGAAAUGCGUAGAUAUGUGGAGGAACACCAGUGGCGAAGGCGACUUCCUGGACCAAAACUGACGCUGAGGUGCGAAAGCGUGGGUAGCAAACA
rnacentral:rRNA from 1 species